UGGGGAAUAUUGCGCAAUGGGGGAAACCCUGACGCAGCAACGCCGCGUGGGUGAAGAAGGCCUUCGGGUUGUAAAGCCCUUUCGGCCGGGAAGAAGGGUGUGAAUGAUAAUACCAUUCACAUUUGAUGGUACCGGAGGAAGAAGCACCGGCAAACUUCGUGCCAGCAGCCGCGGUAAUACGAAGGGUGCGAGCGUUGUUCGGAAUUAUUGGGCGUAAAGGGUUCGUAGGCGGGAUAGUAAGUUGAUUGUGAAAACCCUGGGCUCAACCUGGGACGUGCAGUCAAGACUGUUAUUCUUGAGUAUGGAAGAGGGUGGUGGAAUUGCUGGUGUAGGAGUGACAUCCGUAGAGAUCAGCAGGAACGCCGGAGGCGAAAGCGACCACCUGGUCCAAAACUGACGC
rnacentral:rRNA from 1 species